GCGUGAGCGAUUAGCAUUGCAGGACCUUUAGUGAAAGCUGACAGGGAAUUAGGAAAAGCCAGGGAAAAGUAAUCCAUCCUUUAUUUUCUUUUGUUGUGUGAUAGUCUGUUUGAUCAUAGCUGUGAGUACAUGUGCGCUAUAUGAGAUGCCUCUCUGUAAUUGAUAAGCUUCCUGAGGUGGAGCGGAUUUUGCUUCGAGGAUGAUUACAUCACUCAGAGCGCUGUAGCUCUCUGUUCUCUUGCUCUCUUAUUUAUGAAAUCUCCAUUGUGAUUGUGUCUCCGUUUGUCUUAGCACGUCUGUUUAUUUGUGUGGGUCAGAGGUUAUUCCCAUUUCCUGUACUUCAAACUCUGUCUCAGCUGGGGUCAAAGGUUAAAGGGACAGCGCUGUGUUUCACGCCCCUCUCAUCCUCCAUUUGACAAGGUGCACGAGUCAAGUAUGUCACAUGCUUUUCCUGUCCAGGUAUUCCGGUGGUGCAACUACCCGGGGAGCGGGCCAACCCUGUCAUUUAGCAGUAAAUUUAUCCUGUGUUGGGAUAGAGAAACUGUGGGGAUAAAGGCAGCAGACCUAUCCCAUGACUAGGCUGGCGGAGGGGGGUGGAAAGCCUACCCCACAGCUGGGACAGGCCAGGUAAGGAUCACUUACAAGCUGCAGGGUUGGGAGCAUCAUUGUGGCACCGAACUGCCCACAGUAUUUACAGCCCCCCAUACACACUUCAACAGUCUCAGGUUCAGCCUGCUGUGAUGGAGCAGAUAAUAUGCCUCCAGAGGAACCAUCUGGAAAACUGAGCCACCACUCUCCUGUUGCUGCCCCAACGUAAAUUCUCAUGCACCUGUCUGGGUACCAGACGUCUUUCUCGCUGUUUUUUUUUUCCUCUCAAUAAUGGGGCAUGUUGUCACAAUUAUUGCCAGUAAUAAACUCAACUGAAUUUAAUAAACUCAACUGAAUAUGUGUGUGUGUGUGUAUUAAAGAGGAUAAAUGCAGAUUUUUUUUUUUAAAGCAAAUCUGCAUUUAUCCUCUUUUUAAACUUCCUUCAUAAUAAACCUGACAUUAUAUACUACAAACAUUGUUGGCUCUUUAAUUAAUUGAUUUUGUUGCUGUUUUUUAAGGUGUUCUGAAGUGUCUGCUAAGAUAUUUUGAAGAUAUUUUUUAGUCCAUAGUAUCAUUAAGACAAUGAGAUAAUACUGUUUUGCCCCAAUGACCAAAAUACCCUUAUCCUGAGAAUAUACGCAAGUCCUGCCUUUCUAGGAUUUAAAGUAUCCUUAACAUAUCUUAGUGUUAAUUUACUUAAACAAAGCCACUGUUAUAGAACUCAAAACCUUUGACUCAAAACCUUACUGUAAUCCAGCUUCCCAAUGAGACAACCAGCCUCCUCUAAAUAGACACAUUUGUACUGACAAACCAGUAGCAAGUGAGACAGUAGCUAAAUUAUAUAAACACUGCAAAAUAAUCUCCCUCUGUUUGUUUUUCACUACCACAGGUGAAUGCUCACUGAGAUAAAUAAAUAAAAUAAAAAAAAUACUCACACAUACAAAAAGUGGGUGCUAUUGGUAUUUGCUGAUCAUACCUCAGCAGACCAGCUUCUUGGUCUGUGAAGAAAUGUCAACCUCUCAUCAUCACGCUAUAUGGACACAGCAGGUGUCAGUGAUGAUAGUUUCACUGUGACAGCUGUGUCUAAAGGGUCCAGAGCUUAGACAUCAUAAUUAUAGGCAUGUAGACACACACAGAGUCUACCCAUACUUUUCAGGCUCAUGUCCCAAUACAGAAAUUACCUAAUUAUCUUAUUCCUGCAUUGAUGUGUGAUUGUAUUAAUGAGACGUGGAGUAGAUCAAGGUUCAUGACUGUCUUUUAACGUCUGUUAUGAUGGAAUGAACUACUCAACCAAUGAAGCAUUGCAAAUGAUGUAAUUGAAUCAGCAACAACAGUAUAAUAUAAAACUAGAGACUGUAAGUAAUUAUAGCCUAAAAUACAAUGUAUUUAAAAUUUAUUGCAAAAUAUUAAAAUAUGUACAAAUAUAGUUUAUUUUGCUCCAAAGGCUGCAUUUAACUGAUCAAAAAUAACUGUUCUCUGGACUUUUGUAAUACAUUUUUUGUUUCCUGUUUAACAGCAACUUUUUGCUUCUGAUUGAUGGAUUCCACUUUAGAAUGCUGGACUGUGUAAUUCGUUAUGCAAAGUUCAGAAAAUUCAUUAAAGGGUUAGUUCACCCAAAAAUGUAAAUUCUGUCAUUAAUUAUUCACCCUCAUGUCGUUCCAAACCCGUAAGACCUUCGUUCAUUUUCAAAACUCAAAUUAAGAUAUUUUUAGAUGAAAUCCAAAAGCUUUAUGACCCUGCAUAGGCACAUGCAUUAUGGUACUCUUGUUAAUGGCAGCAGACACUGACAGGAACAGAAGUUGUUGGAUAAAGUCCUUAUUUUUGUUUUCUUUGCACACAAAAACUAUUCUUG
rnacentral:lncRNA from 12 species